AAGAAUAAAUGUGAUCUUGCAGGGCACAAAAGGGAGAGAAACACACACAGAAUUAACAAGUUUGGAAGGGGCCCCUGGGGGCACAUAGUCCAGCCUGAAAAGAGUCUCAGUCUGCAAUAUUUUCAACAAAGGGUCGUCUAGUGCUUGCUUGAAGAACUCCAGUGAGAGGGAACUCAUUCCCUCUUAGAGGAUCCUGUUGCAUUUUGAAUUUGUCCAGAAAUGAAAUCCAGUUCACUGACAAGAGUUAAAGAUGCCAUUCUCUUUUCUGGAAUAUUGGGACCUUUGCUCUUCUCCAGUCCUUGUCCUAUUCUGCCCCAGAUGUCACUGACGGAUUCAAGAUUCAAAUGCUCCAUUCCUUUUAGUCACCUAGGAUGUAAUUUAUUUGGACCAGCUCCAGGCCUGGAGGUUGACCCUCUAUUCUCUCCUUGGCCUAGUCAAGGAGACAAUCAAAAGAGGUUAGGAGAAGUCCUCUGCAAAUUUGAUCACCGGAGCAGAAAGGGCACUUUGUAAGACAACGCAUUAGCCUCCAUCUGUUGCUGUGGUGAGGUUCAGAGCUGCCUUCCCACCCUGGUCUCCCUUGUUGGGAUUGGAAUCAGUGGCAGGCAAGAGAUGGCAACUUCAGAAAUCCACUCCAGCUGCAUAAUGCCUGUACUGAGUGUAAGAGACACUCAUCACCUAGGAAACGAGGUAAAGUGUUGCCAGCAGUUUGAGGAAGCAGCUGAAGAAGAAGCCACUGUGGGGAGAUCCGCAUAUUUAUAAAAAGAAACCAUCUGCUCCAAGGCCGGUUAUUAACCUGGUUCGGUUGUAGAUGUGACAGAAUCGAGCUCAAUUUUUCACAGGCAGAUGGUGUAUUUUUAGCUAAAAUUAUCUUCUUUAUUUUUCUGUUUUUUGAGAUGUCUGGCUUUAAAGUAAACAUGAUAGGAGAGUGUUAUAAUAGAGAAGACGGGAGGGAAAUGAUUUGGUUUUUGAAAUGAUUAAAUUCUCUUUCUGAUUCGUUAUUGAGAGAUGCCAUCUAGUGGACGAAACUGAAUUUUGUUGAUUUUU